rnacentral:rRNA from 1 species
UACGGCGGGUGCGAGCGUUGUCCGGAAUCAUUGGGCGUAAAGGGCGCGUAGGUGGCGGGACAAGCGUGCGGUGAAAGCCUGGGGCUCAACCCCGGGUCGGCCGUGCGAACUGUUUUGCUUGAGCACUGUAGAGGCAGGCGGAAUUCCGGGUGUAGCGGUGGAAUGCGUAGAGAUCCGGAAGAACACCGGUGGCGAAGGCGGCCUGCUGGGCAGUAGCUGACACUGAGGCGCGACAGCGUGGGGAGCAAACAGG